rnacentral:rRNA from 1 species
UACGUAGGAUGCAAGCGUUGUUCGGAAUUACUGGGCGGAAAGAGUACGUAGGCGGUUUGAUAAGUCUGCUAUUAAAGACUGGAGCUUAACUCCAGGACUGUAGUGGAAACUGUCAGACUAGAGGACAAUAGAGGAAGUCGGAAUUCUCAGUGUAGCGGUGAAAUGCGUAGAUAUUGGGAAGAACACCAGUGGCGAAAGCGGACUUCUGGGUUGUUACUGACGCUGAGGUACGAAAGCGUGGGGAGCAAACGGG